rnacentral:rRNA from 1 species
UACGUAGGGGGCGAGCGUUGUCCGGAUUUAUUGGGCGUAAAGGGCGCGUAGGCGGCGCGGGCAGUCAACGGUGAAAGCUCGGGGCUCAACUCCGAGUCGGCCGUCGAUACUCCCGUGCUCGAGCACUGUAGAGGCAGGUGGAAUUCCGGGUGUAGCGGUGGAAUGCGUAGAGAUGUGGAGGAACACCAGUGGCGAAGGCGACUCUUUGGCCUGUAACUGACGCUGAGGCGCGAAAGCGUGGGGAGCAAACAGG